AGGCCUCCAGGCAUUUUUCCUGACCAGCCUCCAUGGUUGCUGGGAAGGGACAGACGACCAGCCUCAGAAAAGACUCCCCCAAAGAAAGAGAGGGACCUCUCCAUGGCAGAGGGCCCAGGGCCAGUCUCUGAACUUCCGGGGGCCGAAGGGCCAUGAGGAAGGAGACCCUGUAGCUGCCCUGAGGCUCCUGAGUGACCCUGGAGGGGCCCCGGCCACCGGCAAGCAGGUGGGUGUCGCACCUUCUUGGGGGCCGGGGGCCAGGCACCCGGUUGAACUAGACCGAGGUCCAGACUCCUGUUCCGACGCUGGGGGCUGUGAUGGGCAACCUGCUGGCCUGCUCAGGGCCCAGCUCCCUUCUGUGCAGGGGCCAUGGCCAUCCCCGGACAGAGGCAGAGCCGGAGGGCCCUGGUGGCCAAGGCAGACUCUGCAAAUCAGCACUGAGGACGCCAGUGACCCUGGGGUUUUGUUUGUGUUGGGCGUCAGUGCACCCUGUGUGCCCUGGAGAGCACCUGUCCCAGAACUUAUUCGUGGUUUCUGACGUUCAAGUUCGUGGGCGUCCUGUAUUUGAGCUGCGCCUGUGCCAUCGUGUGCGUGCGGAUGCAGGAGCAGAGGAAGGGCCAGGAAAGUGCCUGCUGGGUGUGGGCUCUCGGGGGCUCUUCCUGCCAGCGCCUCACCUGCCUGCCC